rnacentral:rRNA from 1 species
UACGAAGGGGGCGAGCGUUGUUCGGAUUUACUGGGCGUAAAGGGCGCGCAGGCGGUCUUGAAAGUCAGGCGUGAAAGCCCCGGGCUUAACCUGGGAAUUGCGCUUGAUACUCUGAGACUGGAGUACGGGAGAGGAGAGUGGAAUUCCCAGUGUAGAGGUGAAAUUCGUAGAUAUUGGGAAGAACACCAGUGGCGAAGGCGGCUAUCUGGACGGACACUGACGCUGAGACGCGAAAGCGUGGGGAGCAAACAGG